UUGAAGUACUGUUGCAUUCCUGGGAUAAAUCUGACUUGGUAAUGGUAUAUAAUCCUUAUAUGCUGCUGGGUUCAAUUUGCUAGUGUUUAGUUGAGGGUUUUU